rnacentral:lncRNA from 1 species
CUGUAUGACCCACGGGUCCGUCCAUUCCCACGCUGCUGCUUCCCCUGCCCUCUCCCGUCCCCACCUGCUCCGCGGACGCCUCGCUGGUAGUGGCGGGCGGUGUCCUUAUGUCCGGUUGCGGUGGGCGUUGUGCUGUUCUAUUGCCGACGUGGAGCGAGACGUUGGUUGAGUUUGUGUGCGCGUGGAAAAAAAGGGUUUUGUAAGGGCGUAGCGGCGGUUGGAGUUGGGCGAGAGGGAGGAGGGAUGGUGGGUGCAAAGGUGCUGCCGGCGGGUAUUAGUCCUGGUGGAGUUAUGUGGCGGGUGGAGAGCAGUUUCCGGGACAUGCCGAGUAUCGAGUGUCACGUGUAGAUGUGUAUGCGGUUUUCUGCACCAACCUCACAACCACAUUCCCCCUCUUCCCGCCUCCCGGCGCCCACAGGGGGCCCUCUGUCGCACUCACGUUCCUUGCACGUGGAAGUGGUACAUACAUACAUGCAUACAUACAUAUUUAAACAGGUAAACCACAACACACGCGGCAACCGAGCUAGCUAGCCGCCAUCACGACCGCCACACGGGGGGCCCCGCCACACCCCCAGCUCACCUUGAGCCGACCGACGCCCGACUUUCCCCGCCGCCGCCGCCACCGCCACCCCUUCCUUCUCCCGAGGGGCGCCGCGGCUGCCCGCCUGACGUGGCGUACGUAGGCCGUACUCGGCACCCAUCUCCCCGUGGGGGCCGAUGACGCCUGCGUGUCAGAGAAAGACAUCAAAACACAACAUAGACACGAUAAACACACAUAUAUACAUACCCGCACACACUCUCUGUUGUCGUUACGCAUACACGUGCUCAGGCAUAAAGCGGGACAAGCAUAUGCAGGCUGUUAAGGAGGCUGCAUGCACGCCGGGGGUGACAUGCAGCCCAACCUUCCUAAUGGGCGUACGCGCACGCGCAUGAGUCUACACUCACAUCAUCGCGUAGCGGACUUCCCCCGAGGUACAGAUCACAUGGUUUGCCACCGUAGCGGAUCAUUCCGCCCUUCGCGCCACGCCGUAUACCUCGCAACUGUAGUUCCCAGGUUUCCGUCAUCUCCCGUUCAACCACCACCUGCAUCCGCAUCCGCACCCACACCCACACCCACACCCACACCCGCACCCAUACCCACACCCACACCCACACCCGCACCCGCACCCACACCCACACCCACACCCACACCCACACCCACACCCACACCCGCACCCACACCCACACCCAUACCCACACCCACACCCACACGCUGUCCCCCUUUCCCCUCUCACCUCCCAAUGGGCCCCCGCGAGCUCCGCCCCGACCCACAUCCCAUACACACACACACACGCUCUCUCUCUCCCACCUGCCACACUCCCUAGCUCCGGAAUAUCGUCCGCGGGUCCCCCCCGGGUAUUCUCCGUACCGCUGUCCGCCACCUCACGAUCGUGCCGUGCUACUUUUCAUGCAGAAGCACAUACAAACAUACGCAAAUAACUAAAACAAAAAACGCACGUUAAACAACUUGCCAAUGUGGCCUCAUGGGAGGUGACGGGACUUUGGGAAAUAGCUACACGAGAAAACACGUCAACAGCCGAGACAACGGCACGCAACGAGACAGACAGAUAGAUAGAUUAACUGACUCACAGGCAGACAGACAGACAGACCGAACACACCAGGAACAAUGACAUGGCAAUGACAGGGGCGCUGGACUGCAGGUCUCGGUGUGCCAACCGCCAAACUACCAUCCAACUACUACCAGCUAACACAUAAGCAUCCCAGGGAAAAAGAGCGCUGUAUGACCCACGGGUCCGUCCAUUCCCACGCUGCUGCUUCCCCUGCCCUCUCCCGUCCCCACCUGCUCCGGGGACCCUCGCUGGUAGUGGCGGGCGGUGUCCUUAUGUCCGGUUGCGGUGGGCGUUGUGCUGUUCUAUUGCCGACGUGGAGCGAGACGUUGGUUGAGUUUGUGUGCGCGUGGAAAAAAAGGGUUUUGUAAGGGCGUAGCGGCGGUUGGAGUUGGGCGAGAGGGAGGAGGGAUGGUGGGUGCAAAGGUGCUGCCGGCGGGUAUUAGUCCUGGUGGAGUUAUGUGGCGGGUGGAGAGCAGUUUCCGGGACAUGCCGAGUAUCGAGUGUCACGUGUAGAUGUGUAUGCGGGUUUCUGCACCAACCUCACAACCACAUUCCCCCUGUUCCCGCCUCCCGGCGCCCACAGGGGGCCCUCUGUCGCACUCACGUUCCUUGCACGUGGAAGUGGACAUACAUACAUGCAUACAUACAUAUUUACACAGCUAAACCAUAACACACGCGGCAACCGAGCUAGCUAGCCGCCAUCACGACCGCCACACGGGGGGCCCCGCC